GACGAACGCUGGCGGCGUGCUUAACACAUGCAAGUCGAACGAUGAAGCUGGAGCUUGCUCUAGCGGAUUAGUGGCGAACGGGUGAGUAACACGUGAGCAAUCUGCCCUUGACUCUGGGAUAACUGCGGGAAACUGUAGCUAAUACCGGAUACGAGAAUUAGAGGCAUCUCCGAGUCUGGAAAGAAUUUCGGUCAAGGAUGAGCUCGCGGCCUAUCAGCUAGUUGGUGAGGUAAUGGCUCACCAAGGCGACGACGGGUAGCCGGCCUGAGAGGGUGACCGGCCACACUGGGACUGAGACACGGCCCAGACUCCUACGGGAGGCAGCAAUGGGGAAUAUUGCACAAUGGGCGAAAGCCUGAUGCAGCAACGCCGCGUGAGGGAUGAAGGCCUUCGGGUUGUAAACCUCUUUUAGCAGGGAAGAAGCGAAAGUGACGGUACCUGCAGAAAAAGCACCGGCUAACUACGUGCCAGCCGCCGCGGUAA
rnacentral:rRNA from 1 species